CUCCAGACUCCUACGGGAGGCAGCAGUGGGGAAUAUUGGGCAAUGGGCGAAACCCUGACCCAGCAACGCCGCGUGAAGGAAGAAGGCUUUCGGGUUGUAAACUUCUUUUACCAGGGACGAAGAAAGUGACGGUACCUGGAGAAAAAGCUCCGGCUAACUACGUGCCAGCAGCCGCGGUAAUACGUAGGGAGCGAGCGUUGUCCGGAUUUACUGGGUGUAAAGGGAGCGUAGACGGCAAUACAAGUCGGAAGUGAAAUACCCGGGCUCAACCUGGGAACUGCUUUGGAAACUGUAUGGCUGGAGUGCUGGAGAGGUAAGCGGAAUUCCUAGUGUAGCGGUGAAAUGCGUAGAUAUUAGGAGGAACACCAGUGGCGAAGGCGGCUUACUGGACAGUAACUGACGUUGAGGCUCGAAAGCGUGGGGAGCAAACAGGAUUAGAUACCCGAGUAUG
rnacentral:rRNA from 1 species